GAUGAACGCUGGCGGCGUGCCUAAUACAUGCAAGUCGAGCGAACAGACCUGGAGCUUGCUGCUCUGUCGUUAGCGGCGAACGGGUGAGUAACACGUGGAUAACCUGUCUAUAAGACUGGGAUAACGUCGAAACACCGGAGAUAGUACCGGAUAAUAUAUUGAACCGCAGGGUUCAGUAGUGAGAGGCGGACUUGCUGUCACUUAUAGAUGGAUCCGCGCCGCCUUAGCUAGUUGGUAAUGUAACGGUCUACCACGGCAACGAUGGCUAGCAGACCGGCGAGGGUGAUGGUCGACCGCGGAACUGGGACACGGUCCAGACUCCGACGGGUGGCAGCAGUAGGGAUGGUGCCGCAAUGGGCGAAAGCCUGACGGAGCAACGCCGCGGGAGUGAUGAAGGUCUCCGGAUCGUAAAACUCUGUUACUAGGGAAGAACAGAUGUGUAAGUAAUUGGGAACGUCGUGACGGUACCGAUUCAGAAAGCCACGGCUAACUACGUG
rnacentral:rRNA from 1 species